CUUGAUGUGGUUUAUCUCAUAAGGGAAACAGAAGAGAGUUAUGACCUCACCCUUAGCUUGGAGGCUUUACAGUGCCUUGGCAGAUACACACUGGCCUUGGGGUUAAGCUUGUAGAAAGCCCAUGUCAACAGAGGGAAACACUGUGACCACCUGUGUACUUUGGCUGCAAUAGUGUGUACACAACAAGUGCAUACAAAGGCCUGGGAAAAACACAGGAAAGCAAAAGUUGAGUGGUUUCAACUUGAUUACAUGCUUGAGGCACAGCACUCACUUAAGAUGUGUUUCCAGAGCUCAAGGGCCCUAAGCCAUCAAGAGGCCCCCAUUACUGGGACAAUGUGCAUUCUAUUCUAUUGGUAAAACAGGUAUCUGCAAAACGAUCUGAAGGAUGAAGACAUGUCCUGGCAAAAUUACUUUGUGGAAGCUUCAAAGUCAGCUAUCAUUUGCGUUCAGAAUGCUGGGGCAAACUAACACCAGGUUCCAAGAAGAGAAGAGUCACAAAGAACUGUUGCUAAUGAUCCUCUCAUUUGUGCACCUAGCACAAUUGGUAAAGGUUUGACUAAAGCACAGUUUUACUUCCACAUCUAUAAUAAAAUAGCAUUUGUUUGUGGAGAUAUUUCUUUU
rnacentral:lncRNA from 12 species